rnacentral:rRNA from 1 species
UACGGGGGGGGCAAGCGUUGUUCGGAAUUACUGGGCGUAAAGGGCUCGUAGGCGGCCAACUAAGUCAGACGUGAAAUCCCUCGGCUUAACCGGGGAACUGCGUCUGAUACUGGAUGGCUUGAGUGUGGGAGAGGGAUGCGGAAUUCCAGGUGUAGCGGUGAAAUGCGUAGAUAUCUGGAGGAACACCGGUGGCGAAGGCGGCAUCCUGGACCACGACUGACGCUGAGGAGCGAAAGCGUGGGGAGCAAACAGG